UAAUACGGGGGGGGCAAGCGUUGUUCGGAAUUACUGGGCGUAAAGGGCUCGUAGGCGGCCAACUAAGUCACACGUGAAAUCCCUCGGCUCAACCGGGGAACUGCGUGUGAGACUGGAUGGCUUGAGUUUGGGAGAGGAAUGCGGAAUUCCAGGUGUAGCGGUGAAAUGCGUAGAUAUCUGGAGGAACACCGGUGGCGAAGGCGGCAUUCUGGACCAACACUGACGCUGAGGAGCGAAAGCCAGGGGAGCAAACGGG
rnacentral:rRNA from 1 species